AUUGAACGCUGGCGGCAUGCUUUACACAUGCAAGUCGAACGGUAACAGGGAGCUUGCUCCGUUGACGAGUGGCGAACGGGUGAGUAAUGCGUCGGAACGUGCCGAGUAGUGGGGGAUAACGCAGCGAAAGUUGUGCUAAUACCGCAUACGUACUGAGGUAGAAAGUGGGGGACCUUCGGGCCUCACGCUAUUCGAGCGGCCGACGUCUGAUUAGCUAGUAGGUGAGGUAAAGGCUCACCUGGGCGACGAUCAGUAGCGGGUCUGAGAGGAUGGUCCGCCACACUGGGACUGAGACACGGCCCAGACUCCUACGGGAGGCAGCAGUGGGGAAUUUUGGACAAUGGGCGAAAGCCUGAUCCAGCCAUGCCGCGUGUCUGAAGAAGGCCUUCGGGUUGUAAAGGACUUUUGUCAGGGAGGAAAUCCCUAGUGCUAAUACCGCUGGGGGAUGACAGUACCUGAAGAAUAAGCACCGGCUAACUACGUGCCAGCAGCCGCAGUAACAC
rnacentral:rRNA from 1 species